UGAGGAAUAUUGGUCAAUGGGCGCAAGCCUGAACCAGCCAUCCCGCGUGCAGGAAGACGGCCCUAUGGGUUGUAAACUGCUUUUCCAGGGGGUGAAACUCCCGUACGAGUACGGGACUGACGGUACCUUGGGAAUAAGCAUCGGCUAACUCCGUGCCAGCAGCCGCGGUAAUACGGAGGAUGCGAGCGUUAUCCGGAUUUAUUGGGUUUAAAGGGUGCGUAGGCGGAUUAAUAAGUCAGUGGUGAAAUCCUGCAGCUUAACUGUGGAACUGCCAUUGAUACUGUUAGUCUUGAGUAUGGUCAAGGUAGGCGGAAUGUGUAAUGUAGCGGUGAAAUGCUUAGAUAUUACACAGAACACCGAUUGCGAAGGCAGCUUACUGGGCCAUUACUGACGCUGAUGCACGAAAGCGUGGGGAUCGAACA
rnacentral:rRNA from 1 species